CGUUAUGAGUGUCCCCAGCCCCUUUGCAGAGGAGACUUAACACAUAUCAUGGAUGCUACUUAAUUAUUAGAGCCCUAAUUAGGGGCUGCGUCGCCCCCUGGAGCCGUUUGGCUGCAGUGCUGUGGGGCGCAGCAAUCGGGGCGCUUCCCCUUUAAGAGCCCCCAGCCCUAUCCCCAAACGGGGGGGCGCACACAGCCGUUAUUCGGCCCCCCCCCCCAUUACCUGCAGGGAGAUAUCAUUGAUCUGCACAUCGUCGGUGCUCCACUUCCCGAACAGUUUAAUGUCGGGGGUCUCCGUCACGGCGGGGGCCGUUUCCCAGUCAGUCAUCCUGGGGGGGGGGGGCGGCACCUCUGUGAGCCCCCAACCCCGAACCCCCCCAAACUGUUCCUCAGUGCCCCCCCAGCC
ensembl:lncRNA